rnacentral:rRNA from 1 species
AUUGAACGCUGGCGGCAGGCUUAACACAUGCAAGUCGAGCGGAGUGAUGGUGCUUGCACUAUCACUUAGCGGCGGACGGGUGAGUAAUGCUUAGGAAUCUGCCUAUUAGUGGGGGACAACAUCUCGAAAGGGAUGCUAAUACCGCAUACGUCCUACGGGAGAAUGCAGGGGAUCACUUUUGAACUUCCGCUAAUAGAUGAGCGUAAGUCGGAUUAGCUAGUUGGUGGGGUAAAGACCUACCAAGGCGACGAUCUGUAGCGGGUCUGAGAGGAUGAUCCGCCACACUGGGACUGAGACACGGCCCAGACUCCUACGGGAGGCAGCAGUGGGGAAUAUUGGACAAUGGGGGGAACCCUGAUCCAGCCAUGCCGCGUGUGUGAAGAAGGCCUUAUGGUUGUAAAGCACUUUAAGCGAGGAGGAGGCUCUUUUGGUUAAUACCCAAGAUGAGUGGACGUUACUCGCAGAAUAAGCACCGGCUAACUCUGUGCCAGCCGCCGCCGUAA